rnacentral:tRNA from 1 species
GGGGUUGUAGCUUAGUGGCAGAGUGUUUGCCUAGCAUGUGCAAACCACUGGGUUCGAUCCUCAGAACCACA